rnacentral:rRNA from 1 species
CUCCGGGGAUAACAGGCUGAUACCGCCCAAGAGUUCAUAUCGACGGCGGUGUUUGGCACCUCGAUGUCGGCUCAUCACAUCCUGGGGCUGAAGUCGGUCCCAAGGGUAUGGCUGUUCGCCAUUUAAAGUGGUACGCGAGCUGGGUUUAGAACGUCGUGAGACAGUUCGGUCCCUAUCUGCCGUGGGCGUUGGAAGAUUGAAGGGGGCUGCUCCUAGUACGAGAGGACCGGAG